rnacentral:rRNA from 1 species
GAGGGUGGUAGUCUAUGACGAGCGCACCCUUAUUCUUAGUUGCCAGCGGUUCGGCCGGGGACUCUAAGAAAACUGCCAGUGCAAGCUGUGAGGAAGGUGGGGAUGACGUCAAAUCAUCACGGCCCUUACGACCUGGGCCACACACGUGCUACAAUGGUAGGUACAAAGAGCAGCCACUUGGCGACAAGGAGCUAAUCUCAAAAACCUAUCUCAGUUCGGAUUGGAGUCUGAAACUCGACUCUAUGAAGCUGGAAUCGCUAGUAAUCGCGCAUCAGCCAUGGCGCGGUGAAUACGUUCCCGGGCCUUGUACACACCGCCCGUCAAGCCAUGGAAGCUGGGAGUACCUGAAGUCGGUAACCAUAUAGGAGCUGCCUAGGGUAAAACUAGUAACUGGGGCUAAGUCGUAACAAGGUAGCCGUACCGGAAGGUGUGGCUGGAACACCUCCUUUCU